GUUGCUAUGAUACUGUGGGCUACCCCAUAGGGACUCUGAAGUAGUGCACUACCCCAUAGGGACUCUGGUCAGAAGUAGUGCACUACCCCAUAGGGACUCUGGUCAGAAGUAGUGCACUACCCCAUAGGGACUCUGGUCAGAAGUAGUGCACUACCCCAUAGGGACUCUGAAGUAGUGCACUACCCCAUAGGGACUCUGAAGUAGUGCACUACCCCAUAGGGACUCUGAAGUAGUGCACUACCCCAUAGGGACUCUGAAGUAGUGCACUACCCCAUAGGGACUCUGAAGUAGUGCACUACCCCAUAGGGACUCUGAAGUAGUGCACUACCCCAUAGGGACUCUGAAGUAGUGCACUACCCCAUAGGGACUCUGGUCAGAAGUAGUGCACUACCCCAUAGGGACUCUGGUCAGAAGUAGUGCACUACCCCAUAGGGACUCUGGUCAGAAGUAGUGCACUACCCCAUAGGGACUCUGGUCAGAAGUAGUGCACUACCCCAUAGGGACUCUGGUCAGAAGUAGUGCACUACCCCAUAGGGACUCUGGUCAGAAGUAGUGCACUACCCCAUAGGGACUCAGAAGUAGUGCACUACCACCUAGGGACUCUGAAGUAGUGCACUACCACCUAGGGACUCUGGUCAGAAGUAGUGCACUACCACCUAGGGACUC